rnacentral:rRNA from 1 species
UGUGGCUUAAUUUGACUCAACGCGGGAAAUCUUACCGGGUCCGGACACACUGAGGAUUGACAGGCAAUAUUAAUACAUUGGCGUUUACGUUUUUUGUAUUAUGUUAAAUAUGCUAGUCCUUUCAUGAUUAUGUGAUAGGUGGUGCAUGGCCGUUCUUAGUUCGUGGAGUGAUCUGUCUGCUUAAUUGCGUUUCACUAAGGACCUAUACAUUUACGUGUGUUGCAGCACUUUGACCCCUCUUUUCUCAACUUCUGUUGUUUAAGAGCGUGUGUCUUAGCUUUUGCUUGCUCGCACAACUAGGUCCUGAAAGCAACGAACGUGACCGCAACCUCUUGUUGCCUUUUGAUACCAACAGUUUCUUUCUUCGCACUCUGUGUGAAUGAUUGACUGCAUAAAGGCUUUUUAAACUAGAGGGACCGCUGUUACUUUCUUAAACCAGAGGAAGGUUGCGGCAAUAACAGGUCUGU